UUAAGCGACUAAGCGUACACGGUGGAUGCCUAGGCAGUCAGAGGCGAUGAAGGGCGUGCUAAUCUGCGAUAAGCGUCGGUAAGCUGAUAUGAAGCGUUACAACCGACGAUACCCGAAUGGGGAAACCCAGUGCAAUUCGUUGCACUAUUGCAUGGUGAAUACAUAGCCAUGCAAGGCGAACCGGGGGAACUGAAACAUCUAAGUACCCCGAGGAAAAGAAAUCAACCGAGAUUCCCCUAGUAGCGGCGAGCGAACGGGGAAGAGCCCAGAGUCUGAAUCAGUUUGUGUGUUAGUGGAAGCGUCUGGAAAGUCGCAGGGUACAGGGUGAUACUCCCGUACACAAAAACACACUUGCUGUGAACUCGAUGAGUAGGGCGGGACACGUGACAUCCUGUCUGAAUAUGGGGGGACCAUCCUCCAAGGCUAAAUACUCCUGACUGACCGAUAGUGAACCAGUACCGUGAGGGAAAGGCGAAAAGAACCCCGGCGAGGGGAGUGAAAUAGAACCUGAAACCGUGUACGUACAAGCAGUGGGAGCCUUGAUUUAUCAGGGUGACUGCGUACCUUUUGUAUAAUGGGUCAGCGACUUAUAUUUUGUAGCAAGGUUAACCGAAUAGGGGAGCCGUAGGGAAACCGAGUCUUAACUGGGCGUCUAGUUGCAAGGUAUAGACCCGAAACCCGGUGAUCUAGCCAUGGGCAGGUUGAAGGUUGGGUAACACUAACUGGAGGACCGAACCGACUAAUGUUGAAAAAUUAGCGGAUGACUUGUGGCUGGGGGUGAAAGGCCAAUCAAACCGGGAGAUAGCUGGUUCUCCCCGAAAGCUAUUUAGGUAGCGCCUCGUGAACUCAUCUUCGGGGGUAGAGCACUGUUUCGGCUAGGGGGUCAUCCCGACUUACCAAACCGAUGCAAACUCCGAAUACCGAAGAAUGUUAUCACGGGAGACACACGGCGGGUGCUAACGUCCGUCGUGAAGAGGGAAACAACCCAGACCGCCAGCUAAGGUCCCAAAGUCAUGGUUAAGUGGGAAACGAUGUGGGAAGGCAUAGACAGCCAGGAUGUUGGCUUAGAAGCAGCCAUCAUUUAAAGAAAGCGUAAUAGCUCACUGGUCGAGUCGGCCUGCGCGGAAGAUGUAACGGGGCUAAACCAUGCACCGAAGCUGCGGCAGCGACGCUUAGGCGUUGUUGGGUAGGGGAGCGUUCUGUAAGCCGUUGAAGGUGACCUGUGAGGGUUGCUGGAGGUAUCAGAAGUGCGAAUGCUGACAUAAGUAACGAUAAUGCGGGUGAAAAACCCGCACGCCGGAAGACCAAGGGUUCCUGUCCAACGUUAAUCGGGGCAGGGUGAGUCGACCCCUAAGGCGAGGCUGAAAAGCGUAGUCGAUGGGAAACAGGUUAAUAUUCCUGUACUUGGUGUUACUGCGAAGGGGGGACGGAGAAGGCUAGGCUAGCCGGGCGACGGUUGUCCCGGUUUAAGCAUGUAGGCGGAGUGACUUGGUAAAUCCGGUUGCUUAUCAACGCUGAGGUGUGAUGACGAGCCACUACGGUGGUGAAGUAGUUGAUGCCAAGCUUCCAGGAAAAGCCUCUAAGCAUCAGGUAACAUUAAAUCGUACCCCAAACCGACACAGGUGGUCAGGUAGAGAAUACUCAGGCGCUUGAGAGAACUCGGGUGAAGGAACUAGGCAAAAUGGUGCCGUAACUUCGGGAGAAGGCACGCUGGCAUUAGGUAAAGGGACUUGCUCCCGGCGCCGAAGCCAGUCGCAGAUACCAGCUGGCUGCAACUGUUUAAUAAAAACACAGCACUGUGCAAACACGAAAGUGGACGUAUACGGUGUGACGCCUGCCCGGUGCUGGAAGGUUAAUUGAUGGGGUCAGCCGCAAGGCGAAGCUCUUGAUCGAAGCCCCAGUAAACGGCGGCCGUAACUAUAACGGUCCUAAGGUAGCGAAAUUCCUUGUCGGGUAAGUUCCGACCUGCACGAAUGGCGUAAUGAUGGCCAGGCUGUCUCCACCCGAGACUCAGUGAAAUUGAACUCGCUGUGAAGAUGCAGUGUACCCGCGGCAAGACGGAAAGACCCCGUGAACCUUUACUAUAGCUUGACACUGAACAUUGAGCCUUGAUGUGUAGGAUAGGUGGGAGGCAUCGAAGCGUGGACGCCAGUCUGCGUGGAGCCAACCUUGAAAUACCACCCUUUAAUGUUUGAUGUUCUAACUCGGCCCCAUAAUCUGGGGUGAGGACAGUGUCUGGUGGGUAGUUUGACUGGGGCGGUCUCCUCCCAAAGAGUAACGGAGGAGCACGAAGGUUAGCUAAUCACGGUCGGACAUCGUGAGGUUAGUGCAAAGGCAUAAGCUAGCUUGACUGCGAGAGUGACGGCUCGAGCAGGUACGAAAGUAGGUCUUAGUGAUCCGGUGGUUCUGAAUGGAAGGGCCAUCGCUCAACGGAUAAAAGGUACUCCGGGGAUAACAGGCUGAUACCGCCCAAGAGUUCAUAUCGACGGCGGUGUUUGGCACCUCGAUGUCGGCUCAUCACAUCCUGGGGCUGAAGUAGGUCCCAAGGGUAUGGCUGUUCGCCAUUUAAAGUGGUACGCGAGCUGGGUUUAGAACGUCGUGAGACAGUUCGGUCCCUAUCUGCCGUGGGCGUUGGAAGAUUGAGAGGGGCUGCUCCUAGUACGAGAGGACCGGAGUGGACGAAUCACUGGUGUUCGGGUUGUCAUGCCAAUGGCAUUGCCCGGUAGCUAAAUUCGGAAGAGAUAACCGCUGAAAGCAUCUAAGCGGGAAACUUGCCUCGAGAUGAGUCUUCCCUGGGGCUUUAAGCCCCCUGAAGGAACGUUAAAGACUAUGACGUUGAUAGGCUGGGUGUGUAAGUGCAGCGAUGCAUUGAGCUAACCAGUACUAAUGAUCCGUGAGGCUUAACCUU
rnacentral:rRNA from 1 species